rnacentral:rRNA from 1 species
GACGAACGCUUGGCGGCGUGCUUUAACACAUGCAAGUCGAACGAUGAUGCCCAGCUUGCUGGUUGGAUUAGUGGCGAACGGGUGAGUAACACGUGAGUAACCUGCCCCUGACUCUGGGAUAAGCGUUGGAAACGACGUCUAAUACUGGAUAUGACUGCCGGCCGCAUGGUCUGGUGGUGGAAAGAUUUUUUGGUUGGGGAUGGACUCGCGGCCUAUCAGCUUGUUGGUGAGGUAAUGGCUCACCAAGGCGACGACGGGUAGCCGGCCUGAGAGGGUGACCGGCCACACUGGGACUGAGACACGGCCCAGACUCCUACGGGAGGCAGCAGUGGGGAAUAUUGCACAAUGGGCGAAAGCUGAUGCAGCAACGCCGCGUGAGGGAUGACGGCCUUCGGGUUGUAAACCUCUUUUAGUAGGGAAGAAGCGAAAGUGACGGUACCUGCAGAAAAAGCACCGGCUAACUACGUGC